GCCACCUGUCAACUAAAUAUUACACACAAUUCUUCUUUGGGCGGCAAUCCAUCGAUUCACUUCCCAAUUUUCUCUAUGAUUGUACCGCCUUUCCAAUUGAUUGUAACGCUUGGAAAGAGAAUUCAACUUUCCAUAUUUUUGUUCGAAUCAUCUUCCAAAAUAUGUUUCAAUUCCCAUGUUUAAUUAUCUUUGAUCGCAAAAGCCGUAAAUCUAUAAAACCAGAUGACUUCUGGUGUGUCUUCUCAUCGAUUCUUAGGGCAAACGAUUUGUCAAUCAUAUCUGUUUGUUCACAAGGAUUUGGCAUUCAAACGAUCUGUCAACACUUAUUGAAGGUAUUUCGUAUGGCUGAAAGUUCAUCAAGUUUCAGACUACCCAGUUUUUGUAGGCACAUGAAUAAG